GACGAACGCUGGCGGCGUGCCUAAUACAUGCAAGUCGAGCGGACAGAUGGGAGCUUGCUCCCUGAAGUCAGCGGCGGACGGGUGAGUAACACGUGGGCAACCUGCCUGUAAGACUGGGAUAACUCCGGGAAACCGGGGCUAAUACCGGAUAAUUCUUUCCCUCACAUGAGGGAAAGCUGAAAGAUGGUUUCGGCUAUCACUUACAGAUGGGCCCGCGGCGCAUUAGCUAGUUGGUGAGGUAACGGCUCACCAAGGCAACGAUGCGUAGCCGACCUGAGAGGGUGAUCGGCCACACUGGGACUGAGACACGGCCCAGACUCCUACGGGAGGCAGCAGUAGGGAAUCUUCCGCAAUGGACGAAAGUCUGACGGAGCAACGCCGCGUGAGUGAUGAAGGUUUUCGGAUCGUAAAACUCUGUUGUUAGGGAAGAACAAGUACCGGAGUAACUGCCGGUACCUUGACGGUACCUAACCAGAAAGCCACGGCUAACUACGUGCCAGCAGCCGCGGUAAUACGUAGGUGGCAAGCGUUGUCCGGAAUUAUUGGGCGUAAAGCGCGCGCAGGCGGUUCCUUAAGUCUGAUGUGAAAGCCCCCGGCUCAACUGGGGAGGGUCAUUGGAAACUGGGGAACUUGAGUGCAGAAGAGAAGAGUGGAAUUCCACGUGUAGCGGUGAAAUGCGUAGAGAUGUGGAGGAACACCAGUGGCGAAGGCGACUCUUUGGUCUGUAACUGACGCCGAGGCGCGAAAGCGUGGGGAGCAAACAGG
rnacentral:rRNA from 2 species